UACGUAGGGGGCAAGCGUUGUCCGGAUUUAUUGGGCGUAAAGAGCGUGUAGGCGGCCAUUCAGGUCAGCUGUGAAAACUCGAGGCUCAACCUCGAGACGUCGGUUGAAACCGUUUGGCUAGAGUCCGGAAGAGGAGAGUUGGAAUUCCCGGUGUAGCGGUGAAAUGCGCAGAUAUCGGGAGGAACACCUGUGGCGAAAGCGGCUCACUGGUCCGGUACUGACGCUGAGGUGCGAAAGCGUGGGGAGCAAACAGG
rnacentral:rRNA from 1 species